AAUAGUUUUCUUCUCCUUUAGGGACAGGAGAGAAGGCAGCAGGAAUGAAAAGGGAAGUACCAUGCACUCACCAAACCUUUCUAAUUGGCUAAGAGCCUGGAAUAUCUUCUCCACUUGGAAAAGGAUCUGCGUAUGGUGGAUGUUUCGGAUCGUGUCUGCUUCUCAGCACAUUAAAUAUCCUGAACAUAGGUAUGCAGACAAGAGCGAGUCCACACGAUGAGCCGGUGUUGCCUUGCAGCUGAUGAGCAAGUCUUGAGAAGUGAUCCUUUCUGCCUAAUAACCCUCUUCGUGCACUGUAGCAACAGUGGCUAACAGCUCUACAGAGAAGCAUGUGCUGUGCAUUUGCAUCUGUGUAGCAGAUAUGCAGAGCCGAGUCCUGCCAAAGCCUCUGGAAGUGUCACAUCUUACAUGGGUGUUGCAACUUCCUCUGCCUCUGCACAAGCCCUACCGCUCUUGAAUCCUUCCAGAGUUCUGCUAGCUUUUACACAUAUAAUUUAAUCCAGUGUUACUUCUCUGCCUGAAAGUACCCUGUGGAGUUCUGCUUACUGAGGGCUUCCUGUUGUAUCAGAGGUUGCAGCAAUAUGCCAGAGACCUUAGACUCUUCGGGAUGAAGCAACAGGUUGAGAGAGCUGAGAAAUUAAGACUGUGGGAAAAAAGAUGGCAAAGAUGAAACUUACCAAAGCUUAGCAUAAUUAGUUCUGCGACUGGGAAUAGCUAUCAGCUCAGCAAGUUAUGCAAAAUAAAUCCUGAACCCAUGUACCUUUGCUUUCUGAAUGCCCUAUCUGAAUCAUCUUAAGGCUGAUUUAAUGAAUUAUUUAGCUGUAUUUAGUAGAUACUUCUCAGCUGUUGGCAAUCACAAAAACCACACAUCUAUCCCCCCCAAAAAAAAAGUUUUCUGCCAGGUCAAAUAUUUAAAGGCUUUUCAGAUCAAUAAAGCAGAGACAAACUCUAUUGAAAGCGCUUAUAGGAGAGAACGAUGUGAAGAAUGGUUUUAGAUGCCUUUUCAACGAAUUAGGAUGACCAAGAAAAGCGCUACCAGCAAAACAAACUUUCAGUAAAAAGCAUAUUUUUUUUCUACAGCACAGUGCUCACAAUAAAUGACAGAAUUCAUCUGACUCUAAAGUUUUU
rnacentral:lncRNA from 1 species